CGCGCGCGCGGGGGGGGGGGCGCUGCGCAUGCGCGGGGCCCGGCGCCCCGCGGGGCUCAGGUGAGGCGGCGCGCGCGGGGUUCCCUCGGCGCGGCCGACCGUUACUCCGCCGCGCUAAUUAGGGAGGCCGCGCUAAUUGCAGUCAGCUGAGCCGGGCGAGCCGUGGCGGGACGCUCCGCCGCGCUGCGGCUAACCCCGGCCCACGCCUCGCUCCGUGCCUCCCCUGCCGGCCCCUGCUCCCGGGCCUGGUGCCGCCGCCGGCGGAAUAACGGCCGUAACGGCCGGCGCCAGGCCUCGCGCCGCGGAUCGGCGGGGCGAUAACGGCUGAGGCCGGCGUGUCGCCGAGCUGCCCCUGCGGAGCCAGGCAAGGAUGAUUCCGUGCUGUCAACAAGGAUCAUCUGAAUUCCUGCUCUGAUGAUUUCCUGGGAAACUGUUGACACCCAGUGAGCCAGACUAGAGCCAAGUGACUCAAGAAAAUGCAUUUCGGGAGGAGAAUGAGAGCAAGAUCUCUGCACAAAGGAAUCCCUUCACUUGUGGGUGCCUCGCGAUAGGUUGGGAAGAAAGUAGUGUCCAUGUACAUAUAUAGUCCAGGCUGAAUAGGAACAGCUUCUUGAGUUGGCCAUCUGAGUCCACAGCACUUUGAAAUGCUUUUUCUGGCAGCUGGCUUCAGGGUCAUCAGCUUGCGUAGGGCUUAACUAAAGCAGUCAUGAAGGAACUGCUGUCCUUCCUGUUCUGAGAAAGGUUCCUGUUCUAGCCCUUUCUUUCCCCACAGCCAACAAGAAGAUGGGCUCCCUUCCUGCUGUGCUACGUGCGUCCUCCCACUCUGCACCAGAGCAGGUUGGCGGUGAGAGGUGACUCUUGGUGGCUUGUUGAUGCUGGUGACAGGGCUGGCGCUAAGCAGGUCCAGGUGAAACAGCACCAGCCCUUCUCCGCACACUUGAUGUCUUGCUGAGGCCACCACGACGUAACAGUUCUGCAUUGGGAACAGCCUGAACUGUGCAUGACUUGACACCGAGGAGCUUAUGGGAGUAUGGUUGCAAUCAGGAUUCCUUCCCCAAGGGAGAAGGGCCCUUGGAGCUUGGUGCUGUGCAGGGAUACUGCAAAGAAAGUCUCUGCCCCAGCUAGGAAAACAAAUAAGGAUGAGAAAACAAACUGAGGCACAAACAGGCCACGUCUACAACCCAACCAGUUGACUCUCAGACCAAUGCUUUAUCUGUUAGGCAUCCUGCUAUGUCCUACAGGAUUCAGGGUCCUCUCAAGCAGUGGGAAAGGAAGCAAAAGGAAAACAAAGGGCUUUUCCUGCUAACCCUUGUCACAGGAAGCCCUACACUGUCUGAGGGAAGGACCACCUCUGAAUGGAGAGGAUCUGGCUUUGAGACUGUAUCAGAGCAGAGUAGAAGUUCAAGCAGAGGAAGUUCCUGUUCCCAUUCUCUCUUCUCCUUUACUAGUCCACUGUAAGGCCACAAUUAAAGAUUAACUACCUCCAAAUAAUAUUGCAGAGUUUACACCCACCACCAUCUCCUCCCAGGCAGCAGGAUGUAGGCAAAAUUGACAGGCAACAAACAAGCAUCUGGGAAGCAGAAAGCAGACUGAGAGACCUUCCAGUAAGGUAACUGUAACCUUAACUCUGCCCUUCCAAGAAGACACACUCAACCCUUCUUGACAUAUUUUAACACUUCAAGCAUCUCGAUGCUGAGGGACUCUUCAGGGACGCAGCACUGACAGCUGGAUGUUACAGUACCUUGUGCAUCAAAGACCCGGGCAAGGCAGCAGCAACAGCCUUGGGUCAUACGGAAGAAACUCCCAGAUCCACGUGUAAACUUCUUUGGGGUGCUGGGGGCAGGGUGGUAGCAUGACUGUAUUAUCAGAACCAUCUGCAUCAGCCUUCACAUAAAAUCAUUCCACAGAAAUUAAGAAGUUCCCUUUGUUUUGUGCCUUUUUUUUUUAAACUGCAAAGUAAAUACAGAUUCUGGGCUAUGGCAGUUGAGUAAGAGCAGGGUGGGAGCAUGGGAAACUCACAGAAUUGGGCUUUUACUCUAUUUGCUGCCUGUUUCAUCAGUUUUGGCUUAUGCUGUAAUCUCAGGUGGUCUCCUCAGUGGACUGUCUACUAAGGGAAAGUUUUAACAUUUGUACUGAGAUAACUUUAAAUGGAAACAUCACCAUAGCGUUCCCUGGGGACAUUUCUAUUCCUGUGUUAAGAGUACUUCUGCUCAGCUCAGCAUCAACCCCUACCAAAGCAGUGUAAGCACAGGUCCUUAUAUCUUGGCUGGAGUGUCCCAGUGAGGAAUGAACUGGUUUAACUGGAGCUUUUCCAUUCACACCUAAUCUUCCAGCAUAGCUUUUUGUGUAGAAACUUCCUUCUGGCUUUGAAAAGCACCUGGGAAAAGUCAUGUUUGGGAGGAAGAUGCUUUAGGUGACAGAAAUAUAAAGCCUCAAGAGAGCCUUAUUUACCAGCUUUGCAGAAGUGGCAUUAUGAGAUUCAACCCCAUGAAAGACAUGUGUGAAUUAAUGUCUCCAGAAUAAACUCACCUUGUUCAGGCUUAA